rnacentral:hammerhead_ribozyme from 1 species
AUUCAAAUGAAGAAUCCCAAAUAGGAUGAAAUGUGCAUCCUGGAU